rnacentral:rRNA from 1 species
UGCGUAGGCGGAUUAAUAAGUCAGUGGUGAAAACCUGCAGCUUAACUGCAGACCUGCCAUUGAUACUGUUAGUCUUGAGUACGGUCAAGGUAGGCGGAAUGUGUAAUGUAGCGGUGAAAUGCUUAGAUAUUACAUAGAACACCGAUUGCGAAGGCAGCUUACUAGACCGACACUGACGCUGAGGCACGAAAGCAUGGGUAGCGAACAGGAUUAGAUACCCUGGUAGUCC